UACAGGGGAUGCAAGCGUUAUCCGGAAUGAUUGGGCGUAAAGAGUCUGUAGGUGGUCGAUGAAGUCCCCUGUCAAAUACCAAGGCUUAACCUUGGACGGGCAGUAGAAACUCAUCGGCUAGAGUGCGGUGAGGGGCAGGGGGAAUUCCCAGUGUAGCGGUGAAAUGCGUAGAGAUUGGGAAGGACACCGGUGGCGAAAGCGCUCUACUGGGCCUGCACUGACACUGAGGGACGAAAGCUAGGGGAGCGAAAGGG
rnacentral:rRNA from 1 species